AGUGAACGCUGGCGGUAGGCCUAACACAUGCAAGUCGAACGGCAGCACAGUAAGAGCUUGCUCUUACGGGUGGCGAGUGGCGGACGGGUGAGGAAUACAUCGGAAUCUACUUUUUCGUGGGGGAUAACGUAGGGAAACUUACGCUAAUACCGCAUACGACCCACGGGUGAAAGCAGGGGAUCUUCGGACCUUGCGCGAUUGAAUGAGCCGAUGUCGGAUUAGCUAGUUGGCGGGGUAAAGGCCCACCAAGGCGACGAUCCGUAGCUGGUCUGAGAGGAUGAUCAGCCACACUGGAACUGAGACACGGUCCAGACUCCUACGGGAGGCAGCAGUGGGGAAUAUUGGACAAAGGGCGCAAGCCUGAUCCAGCCAUACCGCGUGGGUGAAGAAGGCCUUCGGGUUGUAAAGCCCUUUUGUUGGGAAAGAAAAGCAGCAGGUUAAUACCCCGCUGUUCUGACGGUACCCAAAGAAUAAGCACCGGCUAACUUCGUG
rnacentral:rRNA from 1 species